rnacentral:snRNA from 2 species
GUAUCUGUUCGAGGACAUACCCAGUAAAAUUAGAACGAUAUAGAGAAGAUUAGCAUGGGUUUUGCAGGAAGAAUGACACUCACAAAUGAAGAAAUGAUCGAUCCACAAGAUUAU